GGGGAGGUGCUGUCAGACCCAGUUUUCUCAUUUAAUAAUCUCCCGCGGGUUCAUGCAUAGUGGAGCGAAUCUGUGCGGGUUACAGGUGCUCCGCGUGGACCUUUAGCGCCUGCGGGGAAGCGCGAGGGCAGACUUAAUCAGCGGAUAGGAUCGAUCGCACACUAGGUGUAUGCCGGGAUUCUUUGAUGGUUCACGGAUCCAAGAUUUACCCCGGCACUGCUUUCCAAUAAUCAGUUAUACAGUUUGAGUCUUCAAAACCUAACGGUGGACCACGCGAAACACGGUACAGAAGAGCUGUGAAACACAGGAAUUCGCGCGCGGGAUGUGACCGACUGGGUUUUAUAUAAGCUGCUACCUGCGCGUGUGGGUGCCUAGUGGGCUGGACUGUUCCGGAGGUCGUACUCCUGCGCUGGCGCGUGCCUGACGUGUACAGUGCCUUCUUGUUUGUCUCGGUCCGCUGCGCUGGAGCACUCAGCCGUUGACAUUGCUCAGAUAUGUCGGGGUCCGGCGCGAGAAACUGGAUCUGUUAACAAUCAUCACCUUUUCCCCUGUCACCUAAAUCUGCAUGUAUCAGGACGAGAACAAGCCAUCGGUACAACUGACAGCCACGCGGCGAGUUGACGCCUCAGCAAACUCCCAUUUGAACGGAUUACAGGUGCGCUAGCCAACAAACUCCUGCGGAUGACCACAGUCAGGGAUCCGCUGAGAAGGCUGCGCAAGGAGGCAUCUUAAGUCGAGAUGAAGUCUUCAGCAGUAGUAGGUGACACUGGUCUCUUCACAGAGAGCUACUGUAACAUCUGUAACGCACAACUUAUCUCAGAUUCUCAACGCGUUGCACACUACGAGAGUAAGAAGCAUGCCAACAAAGUGCGUCUCUUCUAUAUGCUGCACCCAGAAGAUGGAGGCCCCCCCUCGAAACGCCUCAGACCAGACA